GUACAUGCUUACAACAUAACGUUAGUGCACCAGAUCCCAUUAGAACUCUAAAAUUAAGUGUGCUUGGGAUAGAGUAGUACUAGGAUGGGUGACC
rnacentral:rRNA from 1 species